rnacentral:ncRNA from 1 species
CCCCCCGGCGCCGCCCAACACCCCUCAAACCCAAGGAGGAAGAACCCUUCCCAACCCCACCCCCACCCCCUCACCCCAUCGGGUGACGCGCUGACACAUGCCGGGAGCGGCGCGGUACGGUCGCGCCACGCGACAACCGAAAAACGACGACGGCCCCCGCCGGGACGGGCAUCCCGGGCGAGGGCCUGAUCAUCGAGGAAGGAAUGAGCUUCCCU